rnacentral:rRNA from 1 species
CAAUGCCCGAAAGGGUGACGAAGCGACGCCGCGUGCGGGAAGAAGGCCUUCGGGUUGUAAACCGCUGUCGGGAGUUAAGAAAUGUAAGGAUGUUAAUAGCAUCUUUGCUUGACUAAGGCUCCGGAGGAAGCCACGGCUAACUCUGUGCCAGCAGCCGCGGUAAUACAGAGGCGGCAAGCGUUGUUCGGAAUUAUUGGGCGUAAAGAGCACGUAGGCGGCUAUGUAAGUCGGUUGUGAAAGCCUUCCGCUCAACGGGAGAACAGCAUCCGAUACUGCAUGGCUUGAGUGCGGGAGGGGAGAGUGGAACUUCUGGUGGAGCGGUGAAAUGCGUAGAUAUCAGAAGGAACGCCGGCGGCGAAAGCGGCUCUCUGGCCCAUAACUGACGCUGAGUGUGCGAAAGCUAGGGGAGCAAACGGGAUUAGAUACCCCGGUAGUCCUAGCCGUAAACGAUGGGCACUAAGUAGAGGGGUUUUAAUC